AGCUAUGAAAUAAACGAGGAACGUGACCUGAAGUGGGAAGGCCAGAGAGCAGACAAGACACGACGAGGACUUGAACCCGUGCUUGGGAAGCUGGCAUGAAAAGAGACGUUCAACAGACACUUCUAAGCAUAUAUCGGAGACUGUGGCUUAUACCUGCCAACAAGUGGGCUUCGCAGUGCUGAACCUCAGAAGUAGACUUACCCACCCACCCAGCAUCCCUGGACCAAAGCAGACCUUGACAAUUUCAGGGACAAAGUCUGCCUCUGGAACAUUGGCGGGGAAUGGUGGCUCCCUGGGGCAGCUUGCACCCAAAAAGAUAUGUUGAUGCAAGCAGGAUUUGAGAUGGCUUCUGGUGAAUUCUAGACUGCUUCUGAGUAGCUUAUCCCUCAUCACAAACAUUUGGAGGCGGGGAAGAGUCAGGAAGCAGCUGACUGCAGACAACAGCUUUUCUCCGCUUGCAUGCGUGCUGGACCAUCUCUACAAAAGAAGCCAGACAAG